rnacentral:sRNA from 1 species
UCCGAAGUGGCAGAAGCCAGAGAGGGAGUCGGUGUGGACGCGAGGAGCCGGGCGCUUAGAACAGAGGCUUGCACAGGUGGAGAUGUGGAAGUCUGUAGUGGGCCAUGAUGUGUCUGUUUCCGUGGAGACCCAGGGUGAUGAUUGGGACACAGAUCCUGACUUUGUGAAUGACAUCUCUGAAAAGGAGCAACGAUGGGGAGCCAAGACCAUCGAGGGGUCUGGACGCACAGAACACAUCAACAUCCACCAGCUGAGGAACAAAGUAUCAGAGGAGCAUGAUGUUCUCAAGAAGAAAGAGAUGGAGUCAGGGCCCAAAGCAUCCCAUGGCUAUGGAGGUCGGUUUGGAGUAGAAAGAGACCGAAUGGACAAGAGUGCAGUGGGCCAUGAGUAUGUUGCCGAGGUGGAGAAGCACUCUUCUCAGACGGAUGCUGCCAAAGGCUUUGGGGGCAAGUACGGAGUUGAGAGGGACAGGGCAGACAAGGUAAGUGACCACUCUCUCUCCCAACCACCCACCUCCAGUCAUGUGAAAAUUGCCCACAAUCACCCCUGGAUGGAGGCACAUGCUUCUUUGUUGAAAGACAGGACAGUGGAUGCUGUGAGGACCUGACACCGUCACAGGGAUACCUCCCUCAGCAAGUUCCUUGGUGCCAAUGUUGGAAGCCACAUGCUGAACUGAAAGACAGUGAUUCAAAUAGGAGAAGACUCUCAAACUGUGUGUUUGAAUGAAUAAUUCCUCAAGCCACUGGUUUUUAUUAUACUCAUAUGCAUGAAGAUAGAACAGAGAAUCAUCUAAGCUCUUCUUUUGGCUUAACAUCAAAACCUUAUAAAUACUCAUGCCGUUUAGGAAAACAGAUUCAUCAGUUUAAAUAUUAUUGCCAUGGCAGCAGAUAAUCAAGUUAAACAACUAAUUAGGGUUACUAUUUACAGAAUUUAGCAUCAAUCUAUGAAGUCCAGAUAUCUUUAAAGACUCCUUUGUACAAAACAAAACAAAAUGUUGUUUUAAAGAGAAAAAAAAGUACCGUAUGAUUACAGCAUCAUAACGUUGACAGGAGAGUAAGAUUGAUAACUC